AAUUAAUUUAAAUUUAAAUGGCCACAUGUGGCUAGUGGCUACCAUAUUGGACAGCACAGCUCUAGAUGCAUUUCAGUGUUAUUCCCAUGAGAUUCCCAAAUAAACUUCCUGCAUGCAAAUCUCCAUCUCAGCAUCUGUUUCCCUGAGGAGGAACCAACCUAAAAUGAAUUGCAAAUUAAAAUCUCAAAGUGAGUCAAAGCAACCAGAAUUUCCCUUCCCAAGGAAAGUGCAUUUUUAAAUGAUCAUUGUGGACCACUGUGAAGAUAAUGCAUUGUUGAGAAGACGGAAUUGAAGUUGGAAGCCACUUUUAGGCUAUUGUAAGAGAUGAUGAUGACUUGGACCAUAAAAGCGGCUUUGAAACAAAAAUACACGGGAAAUUAAAGAUGCAGUUUGAAAGGUGCAUCCACUGGAUUCAAUGACUGAUGGGAUGAGAAGGGUGAGGGCAUGUCGGUGAUGAAACUAUCACUACUGUUCAAGGUGCCAGAAGUUUGACUUACCAUCGCUUUUGAACAAUCAUCACUACAUGUCAGCGUGGGAAAAAGAAUAAAAUAACAUCUUAAUAUUAUUAUGAAAACAGUUUUGGCCUCAUGGACCCCUUGAAAACCUAUCAGGCAGAGAACAGAGGAGAGAUGAGGCAAAAGGGAAUAUUAGACAGAUUCAAAGCUUGAAAAGGACUUGAUCCACUAUGAGGCCAUUAAUGAAGGAAUGCAGGCUGCCUGUAACAGUUGAAAAUCACCCCAGCCAACACCCAGCAAGGAAAUGGAGACCAUAGUCCUCUAACUGUAUGGAACUGAAUUCUGCCAACAAAGUGAAUAAGAUGGGAAGUGAAGACCCUCCCAGAGCCUCCAGAAAGGAAGAGAGCCAUUCAGACACCUUGAUUUCAGCCUUCUGAAACUUGGAGCAGAGAGCCGGCUGUGUCAACCUGAACCUGGGUUUUUAACCUACAAAACUGAGAAAUAAUGAAUAGUGAUUUUUUUUUUUAAAGAUGGAGUCUAGCUCCGUCACCCAGGCUGGAGUGCAGUGGCACGAAUAGUGAUUGUUUUAAGCCACUAAAUUUAUGGUAGUUUUGUUAGGGCAGCAAUAGAAAACUAAUACAUAUGUAAUAUAGCAUUUUAUAAACUAAAAUGUCAGGCAAAUAUGUGCUCUUAUAAUUUGAUAUUGCUAUCUAUUAGAGACAUUGGGUUAAAGAAUAUACUGAACCAAUGUUGUAUUUAUUAUAAGAAAGAUAAGGGUGGGAGAUGGAAAAAAUGAUGUUAAACUCAUGAAUUUAGUUUGCUUUGCAAAUGUUUAACUUUGAGGUUGCUUUUUUCCAGAUCCCUGGAGAUUUGGCCUUUCGGCAUACAGAGAGGUUUUAUUAAAGCUGAAGUCCCUUGUAAAAGCUUUUAAUAGCUUCCUUUAAAAAAAUCACCUAAACUCUCUGUUCUGUGCUAUUCCUCUAAAUGCAAGAAAGCACAAAGAUACUGAAGAAACACAGAGACAAAAUUAAAUCAGGGGCUCUCCUAGCUCCUCCAUUAUUCAAAGCACUUAGUGGACUAUAAAUGAUUUAGAAGUGAUACAACUAGACUUUUCAGAGUAAAUAGUUUUCAUUUUCCUGAUUGGUAAUCAGGAGAAAGAAGAUUCCAUAUUCCCAUCAGCAGAGAUUUAGAAUUAUCUUUUGCCAAAAAUGAAAGAGCUCUUUCUUCCUGUGUAGUCCUUUUAAAU
rnacentral:lncRNA from 10 species